CCCCUGGACCAGAGAACAGAGACACCCACCGUGGUUCUGACAGGUUCUGACCCCUGGACCAGAGAACAGACACCCACCGUGGUUCUGACAGGUUCUGACCACUGGACCAGAGAACAGACACCCACCGUGGCCCUGACAGGUUCUGACCCCUGGACCAGAGAACAGACACCCACCGUGGCCCUGACAGGUUCUGACCCCUGGACCAGAGAACAGACACCCACCGUGGCCCUGACAGGUUCUGACCCCUGGACCAGAGAACAGACACCCACCGUGGCCCUGACAGGUUCUGACCCCUGGACCAGAGAACAGACACCCACCGUGGUCCUGACAGGUUCUGACCCCUGGACCAGAGAACAGACACCCACCGUGGCCCUGACAGGUUCUGACCCCUGGACCAGAGAACAGACACCCACCGUGGUCCUGACAGGUUCUGACCCCUGGACCAGAGAACAGACACCCACCGUGGCCCUGACAGGUUCUGACCCCUGGACCAGAGAACAGACACCCACCGUGGUCCUGACAGGUUCUGACCCCUGGACCAGAGAACAGACACCCACCGUGGUCCUGACAGGUUCUGACCCCUGGACCAGAGAACAGACACCCACCGUGGUUCUGACAGGUUCUGACCCCUGGACCAGAGAACAGACACCCACCGUGGCCCUGACAGGUUCUGACCCCUGGACCAGAGAACAGACACCCACCGUGGCCCUGACAGGUUCUGACCCCUGGACCAGAGAACAGACACCCACCGUGGCCCUGACAGGUUCUGACCCCGGGACCAGAGAACAGACAGGUUCUGACCCCGGGACCAGAGAACAGACAGGUUCUGACCCCUGGACCAGAGAACAGACAGGUUCUGACCCCUGGACCAGAGUACAGAGACACCCCCAGUGAAAGCAGCAUCUAUGUGGAGGAAGUUAUCAGAACCCUGGUCAGGAUAGUGAACGGUGGACCAGUCAAUCUUCAUCAUUUCAUUUGCAUCUCCAUUAUAUCUUCUCUUCUCGUCAAUAUAGAUGAUUCACAUGUUGAAAUGUAUAUCAAGAUAUUGUUUAUUUCACUUUUCUUUCAUCCUGGUUCCAUCUCAGCACUCAGCACACCUGAUUCCAUCAAUCGUCCAAUCAUCAAGCCCCUUUUGAUAAGUUGAUUGAGGUGUGUUAGGCUGGCACAAAACCCUGCCACACCCUGUGGGUUUUCCAGGACUGGGAUUGAAGGACACUGAUGUGUUUGACUUUGUUUGUCAGAAUCAGAGACUGGGGAUGAAUUUUAAUUUAGUUUCUCAGAUUUUUAUGAAGUGCUGUUUUUACUGAGCGGCUGAUGUUUUGUAUUUAGUCUGGUUUUUGGUUUUACUGUGUUGUUGUUAUUGACAUUAUUUAACAGAUCACGAGUUUGUAAAUAUUGAUAAAAGACUGAGGAUGAUGUUAUUAUCGUUGGUGGUAAUAUAAUCAGUAUAUAGCACCUUCAUAAGCAGUAUAUAGCACCUUCAUAAGCAGCGUAUAGCACCUUCAUAAUCAGUAUAUAGCACCUUCAUAAGCAGUAUAUAGCACCUUCAUAAGCAGUAUAUAACACCUUCAUAAGCAGUAUAUAGCACCUUCAUAAGCAGCGUAUAGCACCUUCAUAAUCAGUAUAUAGCACCUUCAUAAUCAGUAUAUAGCACCUUCAUAAGCAGCGUAUAGCACCUUCAUAAUCAGUAUAUAGCACCUUCAUAAGCAGCGUAUAGCACCUUCAUAAGCAGUGUAUAGCACCUUCAUAAGCAGUAUAUAACACCUUCAUAAGCAGUAUAUAGCACCUUCAUAAGCAGCGUAUAGCACCUUCAUAAGCAGUAUAUAGCACCUUCAUAAGCAGUAUAUAACACCUUCAUAAGCAGUAUAUAGCACCUUCAUAAGCAGCGUAUAGCACCUUCAUAAGCAGUAUAUAGCACCUUCAUAAGCAGUGCAUAGCACCUUCAUAAGCAGUAUAUAGCACCUUCAUAAGCAGUAUAUAGCACCUUCAUAAGCAGUAUAUAGCACCUUCAUAAGCAGUAUAUAGCACCUUCAUAAGCAGUAUAUAGCACCUUCAUAAGCAGUGCAUGAGGGCUUCAUAGGUAAAAGCAUCAUCUUGAUUCUAGUCAAAUAUGACAUGUACUGACCCAAUCACAACAACCCCACACCCUUCCAACAAGUAUUUGAAACUAUCCGACCCAUACAGACCCGUUAAUCUGGGAUUGGGCUAUGGAUCCUCCACAGGGAUGACGUAGGCCCUUAAGUAUUGCUUAUGAAGGGGACAAGUAGCCUCUAAGUAGGUUUCCUGCUCUAACUCCUAAAAGAUCUGAUCAUACAUGGACUGUACAUCAGUGGAGUUGUUGCUAAUAGCAACAUGUCAAAGGUAUACCUAAUUUACAUCCCAAAUGGUACCCUAUCCCCUAUAUAGUGCCCUUCAUUUGACCAGAGCCCUAUGGGUUGAACCCUAUAUAGUGCUCUUCAUUUGACCAGAGCCCUAUAUAGUGCACUUCAUUUGACCAGAGCCCUAUGGGUUGAGCCCUAUAUAGUGCUCUUCAUUUGACCAGAGCCCUAUAUAGUGCACUUCAUUUGACCAGAGCCCUAUGGGUUGAGCCCUAUAUAGUGCUCUUCCUUUGACCAGAGCCCUAUAUAGUGCACUUCAUUUGACCAGAGCCCUAAGGGUUGAGCCCUAUAUAGUGCACUUCAUUUGACCAGAGCCCUAAGAGUUGAGCCCUAUAUAGUGCACUUCAUUUGACCAGACCCUAUGGGUUGAACCCUAUAUAGUGCACUUCAUUUGACCUGAGCCCUAUAUAGUGCACUUCAUUUGACCAGAGCCCUAAGAGUUGAGCCCUAUAUAGUGUUCUUCAUUUGACCAGAGCCCUAAGAGUUGAGCCCUAUAUAGUGUUCUUCAUUUGACCAGAGCCCUAUGGGUUGAGCCCUAUAUAGUACACUUCAUUUGACCAGAGCCCUAUGGGUUGAACCCUAUAUAGUAUACACUUCAUUUGACCAGAGCCCUAUGGGUUGAGCCCUAUAUAGUGCCCUUCAUUUGACCAGAGCCCUAUGGGUUGAGCCCUAUAUAGUGCACUUCAUUUGAUCAGAGCCCUAUGGGUUGAACCCUAUCCCUUAAGUAGUGCACUAUACAGGGGAAAGGAUGCCAUUUGUGACAGAGGGAGGAUUUGAAUGGAUGUGUGUGUGUGUGUGUGUGGUGUUUGAAACUAAAACCUGCUAACCAACCAUGUAAUGUCUAACAGUAUGAUGGAGGUCACAUGGUUAAAUAAAGCGGAUGUUUGGAACAUGUGUAGGAGAGACCGAGCCCCUAUAGGCUAAUCUAAAACCUGCUAACCAACCAUGUAAUGUCUAACAGUAUGAUGGAGGUCACAUGGUUAAAUAAAGCGGAUGUUUGGAACAUGUGUAGGAGAGACCGAGCCCCUAUAGGCUAAUCUAAAACCUGCUAACCAACCAUGUAAUGUCUAACAGUAUGAUGGAGGUCACAUGGUUAAAUAAAGCGGAUGUUUGGAACAUGUGUAGGAGAGACCGAGCCCCUAUAGGCUAAUCUAAAACCUGCUAACCAACCAUGUAAUGUCUAACAGUAUGAUGGAGGUCACAUGGUUAAAUAAAGCGGAUGUUUGGAACAUGUGUAGGAGAGACCGAGCCCCUAUAGGCUAAUCUAAAACCUGCUAACCAACCAUGUAAUGUCUAACAGUAUGAUGGAGGUCACAUGGUUAAAUAAAGCGGAUGUUUGGAACAUGUGUAGGAGAGACCGAGCCCCUACAGCCUAAUCUACAACCUGCUUUCAAUAUAG
ensembl:lncRNA